AUUAUUAGCCUGCUCGCGAGGGAGACAUCACGAUUUGUCUCCCGUCAUGUGACCGGUCCUCAACCAUUGAAAUUAAAUGUAUUAUUCUGGAGGAUGAUAACAUAAUUUAUUACACAAUGAUAAUUUCAUUUCUAUUUAUUUGCAGGAUAAUGUUGGUGUAUCAAAUCGUUGACUGAAAUUCCACCAUUUACAGCCGUAUUAUCACAGACAGGACAAUAUGCCCCCGCAGCACACAAGGAGAAGAUGAUGAUGGAGUAUCUGACCAAAUUAUUGACUGAAAUUCCACCAGUUAUACAGACAAAUCCUCAAAUCAUCACACAGGGAAAUAUGCCCCUGCAGCACAAUUCUCCAGUGUACUACAAAACUGUUAAUCCAGGGGUCUAGGUAGUAUUCUUCCAGCACUGAGAGAUUUGGGUCAAGCUGGACUGCAUGAAGAUCAAAGUAUAGUGUGAGGAGAUGAUUGGAUGUAAAGUUCUUCUCAGAUUCCAGGACCCACACUAAGGCCAGUCUGCUGGACUCAUUCUUGAUAAUGCCCUGGCCAUUCCACCAAAUUCACUGAUGAGCAGUGUGGGUCAGAUAAGUGACUGGACUGUGGAGAUUUAGAUACGCGUUGUGACGUCAUUGAUGGUCAACAGAAGACCGUGACCUUGGAUCAGAAGUCCUGACGUUUGGGGGUCACUCUCUAUUACUGUGCUACACAGCUAAGUAAGUACUCAGUCAUAAUGUAAGAUGAGAUGUACUACAUAUCUAAGUACUCAGUCAUAAUGUAAGAUCAGAUGUACUACAUAUCUAAAUACUCAGUCAUAAUGUAAGAUCAGAUGUACUACACAGCUAAGUAAGUACUCAGUCAUAAUGUAAGAUCAGAUGUACUACAUAUCUAAGUAAGUACUCAGUCAUAAUGUAAGAUCAGAUGUACUACAUAUCUAAGUAAGUACUCAGUCAUAAUGUAAGAUCAGAUGUACUACAUAUCUAAGUAAGUACUCAGUCAUAAUGUAAGAUCAGAUGUACUACACAGCUAAGUAAGUACUCAGUCAUAAUGUAAGAUCAGAUGUACUACAUAUCUAAGUAAGUACUCAGUCAUAAUGUAAGAUCAGAUGUACUACAUAUCUAAGUAAGUACUCAGUCAUAAUGUAAGAU